GAUGAACGCUGGCGGCGUGCCUAACACAUGCAAGUCGAGCGGCAGCGAGGGGUGCUUGCACCCUGUCGGCGAGCGGCGGACGGCUGAGUAACGCGUGGGAACGUGCCCCAAAGUGAGGAAUAACUGCCCGAAAGGGUAGCUAAUACCGCAUAUUAUCUUCGGAUCAAAGGAUUUAUCCGCUUUGGGAGCGGCUCGCGUCGGAUUAGGUAGUUGGUGAGGUAAUGGCUCACCAAGCCGACGAUCCGUAGCUGGUCUGAGAGGAUGACCAGCCAGACUGGAACUGAGACACGGUCCAGACUCCUACGGGAGGCAGCAGUGAGGAAUCUUCCACAAUGGGCGAAAGCCUGAUGGAGCAACGCCGCGUGCAGGACGAAGGCCUUCGGGUUGUAAACUGCCUUUAUAAGUGAGGAAUAUGACGGUAACUUAUGAAUAAGGAUCGGCUAACUACGUG
rnacentral:rRNA from 1 species